rnacentral:tRNA from 1 species
GCCUCGGUGGUGUAGUGGCCUAGCAUAGAGCCCUGUCACGGCUCUGACCCGGGUUCAAAUCCCGGCCGAGGCG